GCCGGGCGUGGUGGCGCGUGCCUGUAGUCCCAGCUACUCGGGAGGCUGAGGUAGGAGGAUUGCUUGAGCCCAGGAGUUCUGGGCUGUAGUGAGCUAUGCUGAUUGGGUGUCUGCACUAAGUUUGGCAUCAAUAUGGCGACCUCCUGGGGGCGCGGGACCACCAGGUUGCCUAAGGAGGGGUGAACUGGCCCAGGUCGGAAAAGGAGCAGGUCAAAACUCCCAUGCUGAUCAGUAGUGGGAAUCAUGCCUGUGAAUAGCCACUGCACUCCAGCCUGGGCAACACAGCGAGACCCCGUCUCUA
rnacentral:SRP_RNA from 1 species